AUGACAAGUAAGUUUUGCUCAUUUUCUUUUUGUCAUUUUAGAAGCUAGUUAGUUAUACAUGGUAGAUAUGUUACAUAAAGUAGCUCUUAUUACUGGCUCGAAGGAAGGUAUUGGAUUUCAAACAGCUUUACAACUAGCUUCUAAAAAUUGGACAGUUCUUUUAGCAGAUAAUCAAGAUCUACGAGAAACUAGAGACAGCAUUAUUAAAAAAACUUCUAACUCUCGCAUUUAUGCUUAUCAUUUAGAUUUAGGAAAUUUUAAGUCAAUAAGGAAAUUUGCUAAUGAAGUAAAGCAUACACAGAGAUACUUAAAUGUUCUAAUUAAUAAUGCCGGUAUUUAUAAAUCUAACGUGGAAAAAACUAUCGACAAUUUAAAUCCUGUUAUACAAGUUAAUCAUUUAGGGCCUUUUUUAUUAACCGUUUUAUUAACUGAUCUAUUAAAAACAUCUUCUCCAAGUCGAAUUAUUUUCUUGGCAUCUUCGGGAGCAUUUUUGCAUACACUCGACCACAAAAAACUGCCAAAUUUUCAUAAUCAACAAUAUUUUUCAAAUAUGUUAAAUUCCACUUUGACGUAUUAUGAUUCUAAGGUCUGCAAUAUGAUUAUAGCAAAGGCAUUUUCGUACAAACUUCAAAAAUUUAAUAUCACUUCAAAUUGCCUACAUCCUGGAAUGACUAACAGUAAUUUUCUGUUAAAAGACAACAGUAUGAAAUAUUUAAGUCCUGUUGCGUAUAGGAUAGUUCAAUUUUUUACUCAGGAUGUUUCAGUAUCUGCACAAGCCGUUACCUUUUUAGCAACUUCACAUAGUUUAUCCCAAGUUACUGGUCAAUAUUUUGUUAAUUAUCAAACCAGCCAGAUGCCAAAAAUUUUGGAAAAUAUUGAGUUUUGUAAAGCAAUUUGGUUACAAGCAGAGGAAUUAGUUGGAUUAUCUGAAGCAGAAAAACAAUUUUUAUGUAAAUAAUUAAGGACCACUAUUAAAAUGUGCAGCAGUUGAUUUUUUAAACUCAUAAAACUAAAUAUAAUUGAAGUAUUUGUUGUAAGAUUAGUAGAAGUAAAAGCCAUCUUAUCGUUAUUUUCUCCUACAAAUAGGAAAAAGUCAAAAAUUUAAAUAAAAGGGUUUUGUUUGUUUUAUA